UCUCACUCUUUACCCGCUGUACUAAAACCUACAUCCCUCUUUCUCCUUCCUUCACUCUCAUUUUCAGGCACGAUCCUUCUUCCUCAUUCUCACUCUCAAGCGCGAUUUUUCUUCCCUCUCUCCUCUCCUUUUCUUUCUCUCCAGUGACACGAUUCUCCUUUGCUGUCUCUUAGAUGCGGUUACGAUUCUCUUUCCUCUCUCUUAGACGCGGUGCUCUCUGUCUCAGACGAGAACUUCUUCGACUGCAUUUUUCUUGUUUGACUCUGCAAGUGUUAUGUUGACAUGAGAUGCGCACCAAACUUGUUAGUGACACUUUUUUUCGACUAUUUGAAUGAUGCACAACGCAACGAGGUCCGAGCAAUGAGUUUUGGAUCCCUCUUGGGUAUUCUCAAGGGGAAUUUGAACCAUGAUUUGAUUUUGUCCCUUGCCAACGCCUAUAAUCCCUCCAAGUUUCAUCUUCUCACUCCAAUAAGAAAAGUAAAUGUUACUUGAGAAUCACUGGCAGCUGUCUUGGGAUUGUGUUCAUACGGUGACCCAUCCAAAAAGGUAAUUGAAGAGCAUGAGCCCAUGCUUUUAGAAUUUAGAAAAAAAAACUCCAAACUUUUUGAGAGAAAUCAUGUUGGAAAAUUCAACAAGGAGUCCCAGAUUUAGAAGAGCAUUCUUGUUGCAUGCAUUGGUAAUAUUUUUGUUGUCAAUAAAUACAACAAUAACUCGGGAUAAAAUUUUUUCAUUUGUAAUUGAUGUUGAUAAUCCAAUGAAGUAAUUGGAUUAGAUGCAUUAUUAAUGACCUUAUUGAUGGAGCUAACAACUUCAAACAAGGAGUGGUGUCAAGUUUGAAUGGUUGCAUAUAUGUGUUUCAGGUAUUUUUUAUUUAAACUAAUUUUGUGUUUGAUUAUUAACUAA